rnacentral:lncRNA from 1 species
AUGGACACUGCACUGGACAGACUGCACUGGACAGACUGCACUGGACGGACACUGCACUGGACACUGCAGUGGAUGGACACUGCAGUGGAUGGACACUGCAGUGGAUGGACACUGCACUGGACAGACUGCACUGGACAGACUGCACUGGACAGACUGCACUGGAUGGACACUGCACUGGAUGGACACUGCACUGGACAGACUGCACUGGACACUGCACUGGAUGGACACUGCACUGGACGGACACUGCACUGGACACUGCACUGGACAGACUGCACUGGAUGGACACUGCACUGGACGGACACUGCACUGGACAGACACUGCACUGGACGGACACUGCACUGGACACUGCACUGGAUGGACACUGCACUGGAUGGACACUGCACUGGAUGGACACUGCACUGGACGGACACUGCACUGGACACUGCACUGGACAGACACUGCACUGGACGGACACUGCACUGGAUGGACACUGCACUGGACGGACACUGCACUGGACACUGCACUGGAUGGACACUGCACUGGAUGGACACUGCACUGGAUGGACACUGCACUGGACAGACUGCACUGGACAGACUGCACUGGACAGACACUGCACUGGACAGACUGCACUGGACAGACACUGCACUGGAUGGACACUGCACUGGAUGGACACUGCACUGGAGCUUUGUGGCUGAGGGCAGCAGGAGUUUUGUCCCAGAAGGAAUUCCUCUGCUCCCUCAGUGUCAGCCUCCACAGAGAACCACUGAGGAUGGAAAAGAUCAUCAAAUCCACCCCCUGACAACUCCCAGGGACAGUGCAGAGGGCAAAGCCAGCGCUGGAGGAAUCAGCCCGGGCACUUCCACAGUAAACAAAAGGAGCAACGAAUACACUGCAUACAGAUUUUACCUGUUCUACAAAUAUUUGUACACUGUAAAGCCUGACAGGUCAUGGGAGCUCGUCCCUCCUCACCCCACCACUAGGAAAAUAUUCCUCCAGGCCUCCUUUAGGCUGGAAACAAUUCCAUCUGAGUUAGCUGCAAAAGAAAAGAACAUAGCACAAAAGACACGUUUCAGCUGA